AAGCUCCAAGCCAAAGGAUGGUGUUUAUAUCCACGACCAUGAGAAUGGAGUCGAGGAUUCAAAUGUUGCCUUGGAAAAGCUUCGCGAUGUCAUUGCCCAGUGCAUCCUUCCCCAGGCUGGUAAAGGAGAGAAUGAAGAUGAGAAGCUCAAUGAGGUAAUGCAGGAGGCCUGGAAGUACAACCGGGAGUGCAAACUCCUGCGGGACGCGCUGCAGAGUUUUAGCUGGAAUGGUCGUGGAUUCACAGAUAAAGUGGACCGAUUAAAGCUGGCAGAGGUUGUGAAGCAGGUGAUCGAAGAGCAGACCCUUCCCCACGAGCCCCAGUAGGAACCGCUUCAAACUGUUUUUAACAAUUGGAAAAAUUAUUCCUUAAUGUAAAAAGUAAUUUUUAUGNAAAUUAAUAAAUCAUAAUUU
rnacentral:lncRNA from 1 species